rnacentral:rRNA from 1 species
UGUGAACAUACCUAUACGUUGCCUCGGCGGAUCAGCCCGCGCCCCGUAAAACGGGACGGCCCGCCCGAGGACCCCUAAACUCUGUUUUUAGUGGAACUUCUGAGUAAAACAAACAAAUAAAUCAAAACUUUCAACAACGGAUCUCUUGGUUCUGGCAUCGAUGAAGAACGCAGCAAAAUGCGAUAAGUAAUGUGAAUUGCAGAAUUCAGUGAAUCAUCGAAUCUUUGAACGCACAUUGCGCCCGCCAGUAUUCUGGCGGGCAUGCCUGUUCGAGCGUCAUUUCAACCCUCAAGCUCAGCUUGGUGUUGGGACUCGCGGUAACCCGCGUUCCCCAAAUCGAUUGGCGGUCACGUCGAGCUUCCAUAGCGUAGUAAUCAUACACCUCGUUACUGGUAAUCGUCGCGGCCACGCCGUAAAACCCCAACUUCUGAAUGUUGACCUCGGAUCAGGUAGGAAUACCCGCUGAACUUAAGCAUAUCA